rnacentral:rRNA from 1 species
GACGAACCGAGCGAACGUUAUUCGGAAUCACUGGGCUUAAAGGGCGCGUAGGCGGGCCGUCAAGUCAGGGGUGAAAGCCCCCAGCUCAACUGGGGAAGUGCCUCUGAUACUGGCGGCCUCGAGCGAGGUAGGGGCGUGCGGAACUGUAGGUGGAGCGGUGAAAUGCGUUGAUAUCUACAGGAACUCCGGUGGCGAAAGCGGCGUGCUGGACCUUUUCUGACGCUGAGGCGCGAAAGCUAGGGGAGCAAACGGG